GAUGAACGCUGGCGGCGUGCUUAACACAUGCAAGUCGAACGAUGAAGCCCAGCUUGCUGGGUGGAUUAGUGGCGAACGGGUGAGUAACACGUGAGUAACCUGCCCUUAACUCUGGGAUAAGCCUGGGAAACUGGGUCUAAUACCGGAUAGGAGCGUCCACCGCAUGGUGGGUGUUGGAAAGAUUUAUCGGUUUUGGAUGGACUCGCGGCCUAUCAGCUUGUUGAUGAGGUAAUGGCUCACCAAGGCGACGACGGGUAGCCGGCCUGAGAGGGUGACCGGCCACACUGGGACUGAGACACGGCCCAGACUCCUACGGGAGGCAGCAGUGGGGGAUAUUGCACAAUGGGCGCAAGCCUGAUGCAGCGACGCCGCGUGAGGGAUGACGGCCUUCGGGUUGUAAACCUCUUUCAGUAGGGAAGAAGCGAAAGUGACGGUACCUGCAGAAGAAGCACCGGCUAACUACGU
rnacentral:rRNA from 1 species